UGCGUAGGCGGAACUUUAAGUCAGUGGUGAAAUCCUGCGGCUCAACCGUAGAACUGCCAUUGAUACUGAAGUUCUUGAAUGCAGUUGAGGUAGGCGGAAUGUGUAAUGUAGCGGUGAAAUGCUUAGAUAUUACACAGAACACCGAUUGCGAAGGCAGCUUGCUAAACUGUGAUUGACGCUGAUGCACGAAAGCGUGGGGAGCGAACAGGAUUAGAUACCCUGGUAGUCC
rnacentral:rRNA from 1 species